rnacentral:rRNA from 1 species
UACGAGAGGCGCAAACGUUAUUCGGAAUUACUGGGCUUAAAGAGUUCGUAGGCGGCGCAGAAAGUAGGGUGUGAAAGCCCUCGGCUUAACCGAGGAAUUGCGCUCUAAACUACUGUGCUUGAGGGACCUAGAGGUGAGCAGAACUGAUGGUGGAGCGGUGAAAUGCGUUGAUAUCAUCAGGAACACCGGAGGCGAAGGCGGCUCACUGGGGGUCUUCUGACGCUGAGGAACGAAAGCCAGGGGAGCGAACGGG